UACGGAGGGGGCUAGCGUUGUUCGGAAUUACUGGGCGUAAAGCGCACGUAGGCGGCUUUGUAAGUUAGAGGUGAAAGCCCGGGGCUCAACUCCGGAAUUGCCUUUAAGACUGCAUCGCUAGAAUUGUGGAGAGGUAAGUGGAAUUCCGAGUGUAGAGGUGAAAUUCGUAGAUAUUCGGAAGAACACCAGUGGCGAAGGCGACUUGCUGGACACAUAUUGACGCUGAGGUGCGAAAGCGUGGGGAGCAAACAGG
rnacentral:rRNA from 1 species